AAUUCUAACAUUGGAAAAUAGUGGUUGUUACAAUUAGAAGGCCUGGAAGUCCUCCCUUGCUUGCUGCCAAGCCUUUCAUAACCUUUAUAUGGAGAAUGUAAGCACAAGUCUUCUAGCACUUCCUCAUCAAGUGUCAGUAUGAGAUACUAGGGACUUGUCUACUCAUCCUUAUUUCCAAGCUACUUGUCAACUCCAAGCUUCCUCCAAGGAUUUCUUUUUUUUUUUUUUUGCAUGUUGUAGUCAUUAUAUUUCAAUAUAAAAAAUUUAGCAUAUAUGUAAACACUUGGAUAUUUGUUGAACAAUAAGCUAUAUUUCAGCUUUGUA